AACUCAUGGUGAGGACAUGCAUGUAUCAUUCUUUUAAACCUUGUCCAGGCCUCACUGAGGCUCUCAUCAUCAUCUUGUGUAAAGGCGGCGAUCUUCUUUCUCCAAUC